rnacentral:rRNA from 1 species
AGAGUUUGAUCAUGGCUCAGAACGAACGCUGGCGGCGCGUUUAAGCAUGCAAGUCGAGCGGCAAGGGCCUUCGGGCCCCUAGAGCGGCGGACGGGUGAGUAACACGUGGACAAUCUGCCCCCCGGCCCGGGAUAGCCCAGGGAAACCUGGAUUAAUACCGGAUGAGACGGGACCCGCGAUGGCGGGACCCGGGAAAGGCGCUGCGGCGCCGCCGGGGGAUGAGUCUGCGUCCCAUUAGCUAGACGGCGGGGUAACGGCCCACCGUGGCGACGAUGGGUAGCCGGCCUGAGAGGGUGGACGGCCACAUUGGAACUGAGACACGGUCCAGACUCCUACGGGAGGCAGCAGCUAAGAAUCUUCCGCAAUGGGCGAAAGCCUGACGGAGCCGACGCCGCGUGAACGAAGAAGGCCGUGAGGUUGUAAAGUUCUUUUCGGGAGGGGGAACAACCGUGGCAGGGAAUGGCCGCGGGAUGACGUGAAUCCCGGAAUAAGCCCCGGCUAACUACGUGCCAGCCGCAGC